rnacentral:lncRNA from 1 species
GUGGUACUUAGAUAAGAAGAGGGGUGUGCAAACUAAAUUAAUUCUUAUAACAGGUUGGGCCUAAGCCCAAGUGAAAAGGGAUGGUGAAAUGGAAAAGAGGGGCAGCAAACCUCCUUUGAUAAAAAAACGGACUGGGCCCAAGCCUAAGUGAAAAGGGGGUGUGAAUAGGAAAGCAGGGAGUGCAGAAUAGAUCUUUUGAUUGGUUGCAGAAUGGGUUUGAGCCCAAAGAGAAGGGGCUGCGAAUGGAAGCAAAGGGGGUGCGGCAAAAACAUUUUUCGUGCCUUGUGUAAAUCCAGUGAUUGAAUCCCUCGCCGGUGAAGAUGAAGACACUGUUUUUGUUAUUUUUUGUUGUGUGUGUUUUUUUUUGGUGAAUGCCAAGUUUAACGAUUUAAUUCAUUGUUGAUGAAUGGGAGUUGUUCCGUGUGUUGGCUGUGUGAGUUUUACGGAUGGUGUUGUGAGUGUGUCUUAGUGUGUUUGGUAUAAUGUGUGAAUUGGGAUGAGGGAUAAUGAUAAGGAGAGGUUGAAUUGAUAUGGUUGGUGUGAAUGUUGUGACCCUGUAUCAAGCUAGGAGUUUGAUUCAGGCCAGAGUUGACGGCGUUCAGGUUUCGGGUGGGAAUGGGAAGAAGAGUUGAUUUUUGACAUGGUCAAGGUUUCGAGUUGGUUAGUGAGGAAAGGACUCAGAGAUCCACGUUCACUUUCCCUUUUUCAUUAUAUUGGUGCUUGGUUUUGGGGGAGAAUGAGGGGUGGCAGAAUUAGUGGCAUGAAAAGCGAUGGGUUCCAAAAGAUGUAACACAGGUAAAAGGCAUCGCGAGAUUGAGGGUGAUGGGGGGUUUGGUUGGGCCAUUUCGGCUUUGGUAAUGGAGAUAGGAAAAUGAAGAUAGUGAAGGUUGUUUUGUGUGUUGUAGGGAAUGAAGAUGAGAUUAUGGAAGUAGUUGUGUUGAUGAAGAUGGGGCGGAGGUCAUUAGUAAAAGGCAAGAAAUGCGGCCAAAGGUCUCAGGUUGAAGAGGGAGGGUGAUUAUGCGUUGGAGGAUGAAAAAGGAGAUUACUCUCACAACAAUACCAUCCUAAGCAGAGCAAUAUCAUGUAUAAUAUGAAGCACAAUGCAGUAAGCCUACAUGAAGAUACAAGUGAACAUAGCCACUUACCUCUUGAAGCUCUGCUUGCCACCGUUAGCCUAGCACCUCCCUGACCUCCUCCCUUCUUUUUGCUGGCUUCGUUUUCUCUCUACAAGUGAAGGGAUUAAUCACUUUAACACUGUGUGUUGUUCUCUCUGUUUUUUUUUUUGGCUGAAGAUCCUCCUCUUUGGUUGUUGUUGCUCUGGAAUGUUAAGGUGGAUGAAUGGUGUCUCUGAGAGAUGAUAAGUGUAGUGGGUGAUCGGUUGAAACAAUGAGGCACCGUCUGUCCUGGUGAAAACGGCUGUGGAGAUGGGUCAAUGUGAGUUGUGUGUGAUGAAUUCUAAAGGAUGAUGAUGAAGACGUUGUGUGUGAUUACGGGUGUCUCCCCCUGUAUGAUCAGUGCCCAUCCCUUCUGACUUGGGAUUUCUUUUGUCCUUUUUCCUUCUUCAUGUGUUCAUUGCAUCGGCUGGCCAAAGUAGUUCAAAUUUCAUUUCCCUUUUGAUGUAAGAUUAUGGUUCUGCAUAAGGAUUUUGGCUUGUACAGAUGGAACACCAUGUUGCAGGGGGAACAAUGUUGCAGGAUCAAAAUGGGAAGCUUAAUUUGUAUUUGUGUAGGCUGAGAAUGGGAAGAAGCCUGUCUCCUGUACCCUUUUUUCCUUUUUUUCUUUUUUCUUUUCUUUUCUUUUCUUAGAUUUUUUUUGAUUCGUUAACUUUUAACAUAAAAAGAUAAAAAAAAAUAAAACUAAACAACAAAAAGAAAUUAACGUAAAAGAAUAAAGUAAAAUAAAAUAAAAAUAGAAUUAAAAUAAAAACUAAUAUAAAAAUGAAAACAAAUAAAAAUAACAGAAUAAAUAAAAAAUAAAAAUUAGAUAAUAUGACAAAAACCAAAAUGAUAAAAUGACAUAAGAUAAAAUAAAAAUAAAGUGAAAAUAAAAACUAUCUUUUAGUCAUCCGGACGAAAUUGAGUGUUGACAGUAUGUAUGUGUGUGUGUUUAGGAAUUUGCUAAUUUACUUAAAAACUUUUUUUAGUUGGUACAUUUUAGCAGAGUAUAC